rnacentral:misc_RNA from 1 species
ACCGACGAGGGUGAUUACCAAGUCAAGCUGAAGAACCUGAUCCGCUUCCUGGCCGAAGGCGACAAGGCGAAGGUUACCCUGCGUUUCCGCGGCCGCGAGAUGGCUCACCAGGAUAUUGGUCUCGCCCUUCUCAAGCGGGUGGAGGCCGAUCUGGUCGAAGUAGGCACGGUUGAGCAGUUUCCGCGCCUUGAAGGGCGCCAGAUGGUUAUGAUGAUUGCCCCGAAGAAGAAAUAAUCGGUUAUAAUCAUCACCUUGAUCCGGCAGGGUUUCCUGCCGGAUCGGUUUUUUGGGUGCUGCGUCACCCGCAAAAGCGUGAUGUCACGGUUUUAAAAGUAUCGA